UCUAAUAUGGCAGAAAUUAAUGCAAUGAGCUUAAAAUUCAUUUAUAAAUAAAAUUAUUUUGUUAGAA
rnacentral:tRNA from 1 species